GACGAACGCUGGCGGCGUGCUUAACACAUGCAAGUCGAGCGGUAAGGCCCUUUCGGGGGUACACGAGCGGCGAACGGGUGAGUAACACGUGGGUGACCUGCCCUCAGCUCUGGGAUAAGCCUGGGAAACCGGGUCUAAUACCGGAUAUGACUCCAUGACGCAUGUUGUGGGGUGGAAAGCCUUGUGCGGCUGAGGAUGGGCCCGCGGCCUAUCAGCUUCUUGGUGGGGUGAUGGCCUACCAAGGCGACGACGGGUAGCCGGCCUGAGAGGGCGACCGGCCACACUGGGACUGAGACACGGCCCAGACUCCUACGGGAGGCAGCAGUGGGGAAUCUUGCGCAAUGGGCGAAAGCCUGACGCAGCGACGCCGCGUGAGGGAUGACGGCCU
rnacentral:rRNA from 1 species